ACGGGGGGGGCAAGCGUUGUUCGGAAUUACUGGGCGUAAAGGGCUCGUAGGCGGCCAACUAAGUCGGAUGUGAAAUCCCCAGGCUUAACCUGGGAACUGCAUCCGAUACUGGAUGGCUUGAAUUCGGGAGAGGGAUGCAGAAUUCCAGGUGUAGCGGUGAAAUGCGUAGAUAUCUGGAGGAAUACCGGUGGCGAAGGCAGGUCUCUGGGCUGACACUGACGCUCAUGCACGAAAGCGUGGGGAGCAAACAGGA
rnacentral:rRNA from 1 species